UUUUAAAUGGCCGCAGUAUUUUGACUGUGCAAAGGUAGCAUAAUCAUUAGUUUUUUAAUUAAAAGCUUGUAUGAAAGGCUGGACGAGGUAAAAUCUGUCUCUAUCUAAAUUAUAAUAGAAUUUAACUUUUAAGUUAAAAGGCUUAAAUAUUAUUAAAAGACGAGAAGACCCUAUAGAUCUUUAUAAUUUAUUAAAUAAAAUUUAUUUAGAAUUAUUUAUGUUUUAUUUAAUUGAAUUAUUUUAUUGGGGUAAUGGAAAGAUUGAAUUAAUUCUUUUUUAUGAUAAACAUUGAUUUAUGAAUAUUAGAUGAUCCAGUUUUACUGAUUAUAAGAUUAAGUUACCUUAGGGAUAACAGCGUAAUUUUUUUAGAGAGUUCAUAUCGAUAAAAAAGUUUGCGACCUCGAUGUUGGAUUAAAGAUUAUUUUAGGUGCAGAAGCUUAAUAAUUUUGGUCUGUUCGACCAUUAAAUCUUUACAUGAUCUGAGUUCAGACCGGCGUAAGCCAGGUCGGUUUCUAUCUUUAAUAAAAUAAAAUAUUUUAGUACGAAAGGACCAAGUAUUUGAUAUAUUUAUAUUUAAUUAAUUGAAUAUUA
rnacentral:rRNA from 1 species